UCGUAGUGCGGUGAGGCUCCGUGCGGCCUGUGGGGGAGACGCGGUCGGAGUGGGAGGGAGAGUCCGCACCCUAGAGGUGGAAGAAGACGAGCUUUAGGCUGGAAGAGCCUUAGAGGAGCGAUUUUGCAGGAUGACUGGUUUGGUUUUGUGUGAACCAACAGAGCUUUACAACAUCUUGAAUCAGGUCACAAAACUAUCCAGAUUAACUGAACCCAACUAUCUCUGUUUAUUGGAUGUGCGUUCCAAAUGGGAGUAUGAUGAAAGCCAUGUGAUUACAGCCCGUCUCGUGAAGAAGAGGGCAGGUGAAUAUCUUGUCCCGGAGUCUGUGGAUCUGGAGUGUGCGGAAUACUGUGUGGUGUAUGAUAACAGCACCAGCUCCCUGAAGGGAACCCUAAAAGGUGACAGUGGUGAUGACAACACUGAUGAAGGCGAUCAAGGAAUUGUGCUUGGAGCUGCCAUUGAGUGUGGCAGAACCCUGACUCACUUCACCCGCCACCCCAUCCAUAUCCUGAGAGGAGGCUACGAGAGCUUCUCGGCCAUGUACCACUUCUUCCGGACACAGAAGAUCAUCUGGAUGCCUCAGGAACUGGAUGCCUUCCAACCGUACCCUGUUGAGAUAAUGCCAGGCAGGAUCUACCUGGGAAAUUUCAGGCAAGCCUGCGACCCUAAAAUUCAGAAGGAUUUGAAAAUCAAAGCACAUGUCAAUGUCUCCAUGGAGACAGGGCCGUUUUUUGUAGGUGACGCCGACAAGCUUCUGCACAUCCAGAUAGAAGAUUCCCUGGAAGCCAACAUUACACCCUUUUUACGCCACCUCUGUCACUUCAUUGAAGUUCACCUGGAGCUUGGCUCUGUCAUCCUGGUCUUUUCCACCAUGGGCAUCAGUCGCAGCUGUGCGGCCAUCUUGGCCUACCUUAUGCACCAAAAUGAGCAGACCCUGAAGAGGUCCUGGGCCUACGUCAAGAAGUGUAAAACCAACAUGCGUCCAAAUCGGGCUUUGGUGGCUCAGCUGUCAGAGUGGGAGAAGGUUGUCCUUGGAGACAUCGUCACAGACAUCUUGGAUCCACUCUACUGAUUUUCUCUGUGGCUCAGCUAUGGGUCCAGAAGAACCUGCCUUGGGAGCUUUUUGUGGGUAGUGGGCCAGGGUGUGUAACCAGUAAUGAGAAGGCCUUUGCUGCCUGGAGCCUUGUGUCAGCCUGCCUCAGUGGUUCUUCCCAGGUUCCUCAUUUGUGCCAGCACAGGAGGUGCUCAGACUCAGCGAGAACCCCCAUCCCUGGGGCAUCCUGGACCCACCCCCACUGCACUCCUGAGGCUGCUUCUGGAGGAGCAUCUGGCUGCCAGAGCAGCUGCCGCUCAUGUCCCCCAUAACGUGGAACCUUUGGAGGCUGCCUGGUGGGAGCUCCAAGGGUUCCCCCAGCCUUGUGUUGCUCCACAGGGGAUGUCACAAUGCCCAUCCAUGGGUGGAGAUCCCCCAGCCCCAGAGAUGCCAAGCUCAGCCUUGGCUCAGGCUGCAGGCUUCACAGCUUUGAGAGGCUCCUGGCACAAGGGCAUACCCUUGCCUCAUCCCCAGUUUCAGCACUCCCUACUGCUCCAUCACCUGUACAGAUGUCCUUUCCUUGCUCCUCACUCAUUUUUGCCUGGCUGUGUUCACCAAGAAGAGAUUCUCACCCUCCCAUCCCUCACAACCAGGUUUCUAGAAAUUCCUCCGGUCUCAAAAGGAAUUUUCCUGUGACUGUGCUUCUGAGUGCUGGCAGCGCCCACAGAACGAGCCUGGAGUCAGGAGACAAGGGGACUGAUGGAGAAUUUAACAUGUCGGUCCAUGUUCAUCCAGCAAACAUUCCCUGACACCUGGGCAGGGCUGAGGACAUACAGGGGACACGGGUUCGAGCCCUGGUCUGGGAAGAUCCCGCAUGCCGCAGAGCAACUAGGCCCGUGAGCCACAACUACUGAGCCUGCGCGUCUGGAGCCUGUGCUCCGCAACGAAAGGCCACGAUAGUGAGGCCCACGCACCGCGAUGAAGAGUGGCCCCCACUUGCCGCAGCUAGAGGAAGCCCUCGCACAGAAACGAAGACCCAACACAGC